rnacentral:rRNA from 1 species
GACGAACGCUGGCGGCGUGCUUAACACAUGCAAGUCGAACGGAAAGGCCCUGCUUUUGUGGGGUGCUCGAGUGGCGAACGGGUGAGUAACACGUGAGUAACCUGCCCUUGACUUUGGGAUAACUUCAGGAAACUGGGGCUAAUACUGGAUAGGAGCUCCUGCUGCAUGGUGGGGGUUGGAAAGUUUCGGCGGUUGGGGAUGGACUCGCGGCUUAUCAGCUUGUUGGUGGGGUAGUGGCUUACCAAGGCUUUGACGGGUAGCCGGCCUGAGAGGGUGACCGGCCACAUUGGGACUGAGAUACGGCCCAGACUCCUACGGGAGGCAGCAGUGGGGAAUAUUGCACAAUGGGCGGAAGCCUGAUGCAGCAACGCCGCGUGCGGGAUGACGGCCUUCGGGUUGUAAACCACUUUCGCCUGUGACGAAGCGUGAGUGACGGUAAUGGGUAAAGAAGCACCGGCUAACUACGUGCCAGCAGCCGCGGUGAUACGUAGGGUGCGAGCGUUGUCCGGAUUUAUUGGGCGUAAAGGGCUCGUAGGUGGUUGAUCGCGUCGGAAGUGUAGUCUUGGGGCUUAACCCUGAGCGUGCUUUCGAUACGGGUUGACUUGAGGAAGGUAGGGGAGAAUGGAAUUCCUGGUGGAGCGGUGGAAUGCGCAGAUAUCAGGAGGAACACCAGUGGCGAAGGCGGUUCUCUGGGCCCUUCCUGACGCUGAGGAGCGAAAGCGUGGGGAGCGAACAGGCUUAGAUACCCUGGUAGUCCACGCUGUAAACGGUGGGUACUAGGUGUGGGGUCCAUUCCACGGGUUCCGUGCCGUAGCUAACGCUUUAAGUACCCCGCCUGGGGAGUACGGCCGCAAGGCUAAAACUCAAAGGAAUUGACGGGGCCCCGCACAAGCGGCGGAGCAUGCGGAUUAAUUCGAUGCAACGCGUAGAACCUUACCUGGGUUUGACAUGGAUCGGGAGUGCUCAGAGAUGGGUGUGCCUCUUUUGGGGUCGGUUCACAGGUGGUGCAUGGCUGUCGUCAGCUCGUGUCGUGAGAUGUUGGGUUAAGUCCCGCAACGAGCGCAACCCUUGUUCACUGUUGCCAGCACGUUAUGGUGGGGACUCAGUGGAGACCGCCGGGGUCAACUCGGAGGAAGGUGGGGAUGACGUCAAGUCAUCAUGCCCCUUAUGUCCAGGGCUUCACGCAUGCUACAAUGGCUGGUACAGAGAGUGGCGAGCCUGUGAGGGUGAGCGAAUCUCGGAAAGCCGGUCUCAGUUCGGAUUGGGGUCUGCAACUCGACCUCAUGAAGUCGGAGUCGCUAGUAAUCGCAGAUCAGCAACGCUGCGGUGAAUACGUUCCCGGG